rnacentral:rRNA from 1 species
AGUCGAACGGCAGCACGGACUUCGGUCUGGUGGCGAGUGGCGAACGGGUGAGUAAUGUAUCGGAACGUGCCUAGUAGCGUGGCGUAACUACGCGAAAGCGUAGCUAAUACCGCAUACGCCCUUCGGGAAAGCGGGGGACCUUCGGGCCUCGCACUAUUAGAGCGGCCGAUAUCGGAUUAGGCUAGUUGGUGGGGUAACGGCUCACCAUGACGAUCCGUAGCUGGUUUGAGAGGACGACCAGCCACACUGGGACUGAGACACGGCCCAGACUCCUACGGAGGCAGCAGUGGGGAAUUUUGGACAAUGGGGGAAACUCCUGGAUCCAGCCAUCCUGCGUGUGCGAUGAAGGCCUUCGGUUGUAAAGCACUUUUGGCAGGAAAGAAACGGCACGGAUAAUACCCCGUGCAACUGACGGUACCUGCAGAAUAAGCACCGGAAGCAAUACGUGCCAGCAGCCGCGGUAAUACGUAGGGUGCAAGCGUUAAUCGGAAUUACUGGGCGUAAAAGCGUGCGCAGGCGGUUCGGAAAGAAAGAUGUGAAAUCCCAGAGCUUAACUUUGGAACUGCAUUUUUAACUACCGAGCUAGAGUGUGUCAGAGGGAGGUGGAAUUCCGCGUGUAGCAGUGAAAUGCGCAGAUAUGCGGAGGAACACCGAUGGCGAAGGCAGCCUCCUUCGGGAUAACACUGACGCUCAUGCACGAAAGCGCGGGGAGCAAACAGGAUUAGAUACCCUGGUAGUCCACGCCCUAAACGAUGUCAACUAGCUGUUAGCCGGGCCUUGGUAGUGCAGCUAACGCGGUGAAGUUGACCGCCUGGGGAGUACGGUCGCAAGAUUAAAACUCAAAGGAAUUGACGGGACCCGCACAAGCGGUGGAUGAUGUGGAUUAAUCGAUGCAACGCGAAAACCUUACCUACCCUUGACAUGUCUGGAAUCCCGAAGAGAUUUGGGAGUGCUCGCAAGAGAACCGGAACACAGGUGCUGCAUGGCUGUCGUCAGCUCGUGUCGUGAGAUGCUGGGUUAAGUCCCGCAACGAGCGCAACCCUUGUCAUUAGUUGCUACGAAAGGGCACUCUAAUGAGACUGCCGGUGACAAACCGGAGGAAGGUGGGGAUGACGUCAAGUCCUCAUGGCCCUUAUGGGCAGGGGCUUCACAUGUCAUACAAUGGUCGGGACAGAGGGUCGCCAACCCGCGAGGGGAGCCAAUCCCAGAAACCCGAUCGUAGUCCGGAUCGCAGUCUGCAAACUCGACUGCGUGAAGUCGGAAUCGCUAGUAAUCGCGGAUCAGCAUGUCGCGGUGAAUACGUUCCUGGCUAUCUUGCGUGUACACACCGCCCGUCACACCAUGGGAGUGGGUUUUACCAGAAGUAGUUAGCCUAACCGUAAGGAGGCUGAUUACCACGGUAGGAUUCAUGACUGGGUACGGUCGUAACAAGGUAG